rnacentral:rRNA from 1 species
CAAAAACAUAGCUAAAUGUUUUAAAUAUUUAGUUGUUUCUGCUCAAUGGUUAAACUAAAUAGCCGCAGUACCCUGACUGUGCAAAGGUAGCAUAAUCAUUUGGCUUAUAAUUGAAGUCUGGCAUGAAUGAAUUAACGGGUAAGCACUGUCUCUCAAAACAACCUAGAAGUUACUUAGUAGGUGAAAAUUCCUACAGGUAAAUAAUAGACGAGAAGACCCUAGAAAUUUUAUAUAAUUUAAUAUGUAUAUUACCAUUAUUUUGUUGGGGCGACAGAAUAACAUAUAACUUAUUUUAUUUAAUUAGAACUAAUUGAUGUGAGAAAUUAAAUUACUCUAGGGAUAACAGCAUAAUUUAUUAAAGUUUGUGACCUCGAUGUUGGACUAGGGACUGUAACGUCCAGAAGAUGUUGCCAUAGGCUCUGUUCGAGCUUUCAUCCCUACGUGAUCU